AUGGGUGACGAUGAUGAUGUUAAGAAAAAACGACAUCUACGCAAUCGUCGUUCAAAAACGCGUCCGAACAACAGCAUCUCAAAUCAAUCGGUUUCCGUAACUGCCACCAACAAGGCAUUGCCAUCUUUGCCGGUCGAAGUCAUGACCGAGAUCUUCCUGAGAUUUUCCGUAAGAUCCCUCCAUCAAUUAAGAGCCAUUGUUGAAAAAUCAAUCAAGAGAUCCAACCCCUAA